AACGAACACUGGCGGCAGGCUUAACACAUGCAAGUCGAGCGCCCCGCAAGGGGAGCGGCAGACGGGUGAGUAACGCGUGGGAAUCUACCCAUCUCUACGGAACAACUCCGGGAAACUGGAGCUAAUACCGUAUACGUCCGCAAGGAGAAAGAUUUAUCGGAGAUGGAUGAGCCCGCGUUGGAUUAGCUAGUUGGUGGGGUAAAGGCCUACCAAGGCGACGAUCCAUAGCUGGUCUGAGAGGAUGAUCAGCCACACUGGGACUGAGACACGGCCCAGACUCCUACGGGAGGCAGCAGUGGGGAAUAUUGGACAAUGGGCGCAAGCCUGAUCCAGCCAUGCCGCGUGAGUGAUGAAGGCCCUAGGGUUGUAAAGCUCUUUCAGCUGGGAAGAUAAUGACGGUACCAGCAGAAGAAGCCCCGGCUAACUCCGUGCCAGCCGCCGCAGUAA
rnacentral:rRNA from 1 species